CAGUAGCCGCGGUAAUACGAAGGGUGCAAGCGUUACUCGGAUUUACUGGGCGUAAAGCGUGCGUAGGCGGCUUUUUAAGUCGGAUGUGAAAUCCCUGAGCUUAACUUAGGAAUUGCAUUCGAUACUGGGAAGCUAGAGUAUGGGAGAGGAUGGUAGAAUUCCAGGUGUAGCGGUGAAAUGCGUAGAGAUCUGGAGGAAUACCGAUGGCGAAGGCAGCCAUCUGGCCUAAUACUGACGCUGAGGUACGAAAGCAUGGGGAGCAAACAGGAUUAGAUACCCGCGUAGUCCCUGUCUCUUAUAC
rnacentral:rRNA from 1 species